ensembl:lncRNA
CGUGCGGCAUGGCAUCAUACGCAAGGGGCGUGGCGGAGGCGUGUCAUAACAUAUCAGCGCUACUGUUUCAUGUGUCGAUCGAGCUCUGUUGAGAACUGCGCUCUCUCUGUGCUUCACCGGAGUAGACAUAAACAAGUGAUUAAAAGCUAAAGGUUUAGUUUUCUGCAGUAGCAUACGCGCUGUCAGGGCUACAUCGGCAGAUUUUUCUGUGGCUAACAGAGAGGAUAGAUCGCUCUUCUGGGAAGACGUCGAAAAGUAACUAAGCCUCACUCACUCGGCCACAGGUAGCUGUUUCGGCUCUGAAUAUCAAAGUACAGGUCAUGCGGGUGUCUUCGGACGGACAGAGAGCUGUGAUCCAGUGCUGCUGUUACUGCUAGUGACUCCGGUGGACUGAUCGCUUUUGCCGCAAGCUGAGCAGGAACGACGGAAUUAAGCAUGUCCCGAAGAAAGCAGAGCAAACCCCGGCAAAUCAAACAUGGUGGGAAUCUUGGCAAAGCAAGUGAAAGUCCACUCCUGUACGUCAGCGUGUCCGCAGAGGUCCCGCCAGUGCUGCGCAAGCCCUGAGGCUCCCAGCUUAUCUACGGCUCCAGUGAUGCUGGUGACACGAGUCCCAUCCAGCCAGGUCUCUGUCUCAGCACUCGACUGGCUCAUCAGUCAUUUCAGCACAUUUUCAGCUGGCAGAUCAAUAGCUCCUUUUCCCCUGUCUGUAUAUAAACUGAUCGGUCUUCUCAUCAGCUGUUUCACUUCUGAGAUCAGUUUGAAAUGAUGCAUUUGUGAAGUCUCCUUUUGAAUUAUCCAAUUUAUCUGGUCUAAACCCUGGAUCCAAUUAAUAUUACUAAGAG